rnacentral:tRNA from 1 species
GCGAGGGUGGCGGAACUGGUAGACGCACCAGACUUAGGAUCUGGCGCCUUGGCGUGGGGGUUCGACUCCCCCCUCUCGCACCA